rnacentral:rRNA from 1 species
UUAGAGUUUGAUCCAUGGCUCAGAACGAACGCGGGCGGCGCGCCUAACACAUGCAAGUCGAACGGGGGUCGUCCCUUCGGGGUCGGCCCUAGUGGCGGACGGGUGAGUAGCGCGUGGGAACCUGCCCCAAGCUCCGGGACAACCGCGGGAAACUGCAGCUAAUACCGGAUGAUGCCCCCGCGAGGGGGCCAAAGCUUGAUGCGGCUUGGGAUGGGCCCGCGUCCGAUUAGCUUGUUGGUGGGGUAACGGCCCACCAAGGCAGUGAUCGGUAGCUGGUCUGAGAGGACGAUCAGCCACACUGGGACUGAGACACGGCCCAGACUCCUACGGGAGGCAGCAGUGGGGAAUCUUGGACAAUGGGGGCAACCCUGAUCCAGCGACGCCGCGUGGGUGAUGAAGGCUUUCGGGUUGUAAAGCCCUUUCGCCCGGGGACGAUGAUGACGGACCCGA